ACGACGUUUCAUGCUGAUGUCGAGAGCCUUCUUCGCGAAGCGACAAAUAUGUAUCCUCAUCUUGAUUCAUGUAUCUGGGUCGUUUUCAUAGAUUUCAAGUGCACUCUCUUCUCUCCUUCCCCAUCCCUCUGUCUUCUCUGACUAUCGCUUCUCGGCCAACCUUCAAACAAAAAUUCUGAGACGUAAGUAACUCUGAGCUUUUAGGUUAAUUUUACAAUUCGUUUCGUUAUAUUUUGGUUUCUUUUUGAGGUAAAGAUUUCUUUUCUUUUUUUUUUCUUUUUUUUUUUUUGUAAAUUUGGCUUCUUCCGAGAUUCAUUGCAUGCAUUUUGGGGGACCUAAUAAAGAAAGGUAUGAAAUAUGAUUCUAGAAUUUCUGUUUUCGUAUUUGUAUUUCUUUGAUCAUAACCUUUGUUUUGGUUAUUUGUCUUUAGAACUUGAGAAAAUCAUCAACUUCUGUACUGUACGUUUAGCCUGUUUUGGUUCUCAAUCUUCUGAAUAAUUGAACAUCAAUGAUAUAACUGCACAGUUGUUGAAAGCAACUAUCUCAUUUAUGUCUUAGUUGUCUUAUAUAAUUACAUGUGCUGUUUUGAAUGCAUUAUUUGGACAAACCUACUACUCUGUUUUUUCUCUUGGAAAAGGAUAAAGAAUUGAAGAGGUAAUAGUAAUAUAUAAGGCUUCUUGUAUUUUUUAAAUUAAAGAAGCUCUGCAUGACCAGGAAUACUGCGUUUGUCUUGCCAAUAUCUAUGAGGGUUCAAAUAUUCUUGAGUGAAGGAGAUCUUCAUGUGUUGAGAAACACUAAAGAGGAAGUUGUUGCACUGCCAAUGGUAACUGAUAGAUGAUAUAUCUGUAGGUUUAUUGUUGCCUGUUGGCAUAAUUAUCUGAAAUAAUAUUGCGAUUAAUGUGUUUUUCUGAGGAAAUUUGAUAACCACAAAGAGAAGAAGAUUCACCACUAUCCACGAACGGAAAUAUACAAUAAGAUUAGGUUUUUUUUCCCCUGUGGAACAUGCAAGGGAUAAAGAAGAAGGGAAACCGAAGAGUAGCAAAGCAGAAGAAAUCAAAUAGGGUAUUAUGAUUUUGUGUUGCGUACCCUGUGCUAGGAGGGACAUAAAGGGUAUGCAGUCAUGACUUUAUGAUUCGAAUUGCGCCACCAAUUCUGUUGAACAAGUUUGAUUUUCUGGAUUAUGAAACAAUGGAGGAGAGGGUUUGAAGAUACAUUGUCAGUUGUUUAUUCUUGAAUUUUUUGAAGCUGCGUUUCUUUAUUUGUAGAAUCAGUUUAUUACAAUUGACAUGAAAAUUCAACUAUACAAAAUUAAUAGGACAUUUGUGGGUCUCUGAUGUGAGGUUGCUCUUGAAUUUAAGGAGGAUCAAACGAUUGAGCUAUUAAA